rnacentral:rRNA from 1 species
UACGUAGGGUGCAAGCGUUGUCCGGAAUUAUUGGGCGUAAAGAGCGUGUAGGCGGCCCGAUUAGUCCGCUGUGAAAGUCCAGGGCUCAACCCUGGAAAGCCGGUGGAAACUGUCAAGCUUGAGUCCGGAAGAGGCGAGUGGAAUUCCUGGUGUAGCGGUGAAAUGCGCAGAUAUCAGGAGGAACACCAAUGGCGAAGGCAGCUCGCUGGGACGGUACUGACGCUGAGACGCGAAAGCGUGGGGAGCAAACAGG